rnacentral:tRNA from 1 species
GCCCGCCUAGCUCAAUCGGAUAGAGCGUCAGACUUUUAUGUCAUGGGCAAUAAUCUGAAGGCUGCGAGUUCGACCCUCGCGGUGGGCU